AACGAACGCUGGCGGCAUGCCUAACACAUGCAAGUCGAACGAGACCUUCGGGUCUAGUGGCGCACGGGGGCGUAAGGCGUGGGAACCUGCCCUUAGGUUCGGAAUAACUCCCCGAAAGGGGUGCUAAUACCGGCUAAUGUCUCCGGACCAAAGAUUUAUCGCCUUUGGAGGGGCCCUCGUUGGAUUAGCUAGUUGGUAGGGUAAAAGCCUACCAAGGCGACGAUCCAUAGCUGGUCUGAGAGGAUGAUCAGCCACACUGGGACUGAGACACGGCCCAGACUCCUACGGGAUGCAGCAGUGCGGAAUAUUGGACAAUGGGCUAAAGCCUGAUCCAGCAAUGCCGCGUGAGUGAUUAAGGCCUUAGGGUUGUAAAUCUCGUUUACCCGGGAUGAUAAUGACAGUACCGGGAGAAUAAGCUCCGGCUAACUCCGUG
rnacentral:rRNA from 1 species